AUUGACCGCUGGCGGCAUGCUUUACACAUGCAAUUCGAACGGUAACAGGGUGCUUGCACCGCUGACGAGUGGCGAACGGGUGAGUAAUGCGGCGGAACGUGCCGAGUAGUGUGGGUUAACGAAGGGAAAGGUAGGCUAAUACCGCAUACGUACUGAGGUAACAAGUGGGGGACCUUCGGGACUGACACUAUUCGAUCGGCCGAGGUCUGAUUAGCUAGUAGGUGGGGUAAAGGCUCACGUAGGCGACGAUCAGUAGCGGGUCUGAGAGGAUGGUCCGCCACACUGGGACUGAGACACGGCCCAUACUCCUACGGGAGGCAGCAGUGGGGAAUUUUGGACAAUGGGCGAAAGCCUGAUCCAGCCAUGCCGCGUGCAGGAUGAAGGCCUUCGAGUUGUAAACUGCUUUUGUACGGAACGAAAAGACUCUGGUUAAUACCUGGGGUCCAUGACGGUACCGUAAGAAUAAGCACCGGCUAACUACGUGCCAGCCGCCGCCGUAAUAC
rnacentral:rRNA from 1 species